AACGAGUUAGUAUACUCAAUACCUUUAAUUUAGGCUUAAAAAAAAGAUAAUCUCUACUCGCUA
rnacentral:tRNA from 1 species